rnacentral:rRNA from 1 species
AGCGAACGCUGGCGGUAGGCCUAACACAUGCAAGUCGAACGGCAGCACAGUAAGAGUUUGCUCUUACGGGUGGCGAGUGGCGGACGGGUGAGGAAUACAUCGGAAUCUACUUUUUCGUGGGGGAUAACGUAGGGAAACUUACGCUAAUACAGCAUACGACCUACGGGUGAAAGCAUGGGAUCUUCGGACCUUGUGCGAUUGAAUGAGCCGAUGUCGGAUUAGCUAGUUGGCGGGGUAAAGGCCCACCAAGGCGACGAUCCGUAGCUGGUCUGAGAGGAUGGUCAGCCACACUGAAACUGAGACACGGUCCAGACUCCUACGGGAGGCAGCAGUGGGGAAUAUUGGGCAAUGGACGCAAGCCUGAUCCAGCCAUACCGCGUGGGUGAAGAAGGCCUUCGGGUUGUAAAGCCCUUUUGUUGGGAGAGAAGAACAGCAGGUUAAUACCCCGCGGUUCUGACGGUACCCAAAGAGUAAGCACCGGCUAACUUCGUG